rnacentral:rRNA from 1 species
GACGAACGCUGGCGGCGUGCUUAACACAUGCAAGUCGAACGGAAAGGCCCUGCUUGCAGGGUGCUCGAGUGGCGAACGGGUGAGUAACACGUGGGUGAUCUGCCCCUUACUUUGGGAUAAGCCUGGGAAACUGGGUCUAAUACUGGAUAGGACCAUGCUGUAGGUGGUGUGGUGGAAAGAUUAGUUUCGGUAAGGGAUGAGCUCGCGGCCUAUCAGCUUGUUGGUGGGGUAAUGGCCUACCAAGGCGUCGACGGGUAGCCGGCCUGAGAGGGUGGACGGCAACAUUGGGACUGAGAGACGGCCCAGACUCCUACGGGAGGCAGCAGUGGGGAAUAUUGCACAAUGGGCGCAAGCCUGAUGCAGCGACGCCGCGUGGGGGAUGACGGCCUUCGGGUUGUAAACUCCUUUCAGCCAUGACGAAGCCCUUGUGGUGACGGUAGUGGUAGAAGAAGCACCGGCUAACUACGUG